rnacentral:rRNA from 2 species
ACGUAUGGUGCAAGCGUUAUCCGGAUUUACUGGGUGUAAAGGGAGCGCAGGCGGAAGGCUAAGUCUGAUGUGAAAGCCCGGGGCUCAACCCCGGUACUGCAUUGGAAACUGGUCAUCUAGAGUGUCGGAGGGGUAAGUGGAAUUCCUAGUGUAGCGGUGAAAUGCGUAGAUAUUAGGAGGAACACCAGUGGCGAAGGCGGCUUACUGGACGAUAACUGACGCUGAGGCUCGAAAGCGUGGGGAGCAAACAG